GUGAAGUUAUCCAGAUAGACGAGCUCCCAUUGUUGCCUAAGCUGAAGGCAAUACAUCGGCAGACAUGUAAGGUGAGAUGCAGCCUUGUACCUGCAACAAACAAGUUGGAAUUUCGACAAAGCCCUGCAACAGAAGAUCCACCUUCUGCAGACUGCUUUUUGGGACAGGGGUAAGUACAUAGAGUACGUGCUUGAGAGUGUCAAUGGCACGCACGAUUCCCAAGCCCAUGCAGUCAGGAAAAUUUUCAGAAUCAACUGCCAAGCCAACAAUAGUUGCAUUCAAGCUGUACAAAACCUCAUUCUUAGGAACCUCACAAUGAAGGUGUUUAAUUUUGAUACUUGAUAUAGG
rnacentral:misc_RNA from 1 species